UGUUGUUUACCCACGGAGCUCCAGCACCGACUCAGCCUGCCUGGGGAGGGGACAGAAAGCUCUGGAGGCUGAGCUGUCAGACUCCCACAGGGAGAGAAACUAGCCGGUUGCAAGGUCUAGGAAAUGUGUGGGAAUCAGGUCUGGGACACCUGGAGCCAUCAUCUGGGCACCCCUGGUAGAUUUUCAGACCCCCUUGCCUCUGCAAACAGCUGCUCUCCCUCCGCUGCCAGGCCUCUCCCCUGACUUUCUUGGCUUGCCCACUGCUAUGAAGUGACCGGACUGGAAGACUGGGCAAACAGGUUGGACGUGGGGGCUGAACCACAUGGCUUUGCUGGCAGUCCAGGGACUGGCAGGUCAGCCACUGCAGACAUAUGCCAAGGUCCUGUCCAAGAGGUAAGCCGUUCGUUCCCUUCCACCGGAGCGGAGCCUGCAAGCCCGCAUCUUUGACCUGAGUUAUCACAGUUUGCCGUCCUGGGAGCAGGGCGGAGGGUGAUGAGGGACACGCUGGAGAAGGUGAUAGUGAUGGUGGUUUGGUGACAGUGGUGAUGACACAGAGGACAAAGAGGACCCAUGCUUCCAAGGGGACCUUCUGGGAGGUUUUUCCACUUCUGCCUCAUCCACCCCCCUGUCCCCCAUCACGUGGGUAUCUCCAGCACUUUCCCUGCAAUGCCCAGAGGGUUGGGAGAUCCUCGCAUCUCAUUAAACCAGCCUAUUUGUAAGUUCUGCUCUCCGGGGGCAUCGUAGUAACUAGUUUUUCUCCUCGGGGCACUGGGGAGCUACCAGAGUGUAAACACAGAUGUCUCAGGGGAAAGCGUGUGUGCUUACAGACUAGUGUGAUUCAUCUGUACUAUCUGGACACCAACCACCAGAGUGGAGUCUGUCCUCUGAAGGAAGUCUACCCGUCCACCAGGUCACCCACCCACCCACUCAUUCUGCCACCCACCUACUCCUCUACCCACUUGCCCACCCACCCACCCACCUAAUCUGUCCCUUCACCCACCCACUCACCCAUCCACUUAAUCAUCUGUCCAUCCAUCAGUCCAUCUAUCUGUCACCCACACAUCUUUGAGCCACCCACUGCUGUCCGUUCCCACCAGUGCUCUCCAAGUCCAGGGUGCCUUCAGGGACACUGCAGUGGCUCUUUCUUUUCUUCUGUUUUCCACCCAGCAGACAGAUCAAGCUUUUAUAAGUGAACAUCAGAUGAUGUCACGCAAUUGCUUGUUGCCGUUUCCCCUUGCUGGUAAGGUGAGUUCCUUCCUCUGGGGGUAUAGCCCAGCAGUAGAACAUUUUCCCAUCCAUGGGAGGCCCUGGGUUGGAACCCCAGCCCCAGAAACACACACAGACACACAUAAGAUAGACUCCAAUUUUUCUUAGGUGUAACAUAUACAUGGUACGGCAUGCAGCUCGGUGAAUUUCUACACACGUACAUACAUGUAACCACACUGAGAUGAAGUUUCAGAACAAUUUCCAGGUCUGCAUGUCCUUCUACCCUUCAGAAGUGACACUGUUUGAACUUUUGAGCCAUGGAUUGGUUUUAUUUGUUCCUGAACCUCUUGUAAAUGAAAUCCUGUACUCUGUAUCCUUUGUAUCUCACUCUCUCUCAACUUUAUCUCUGUGAAAUCCAUCCUUGUUAUUGUGGGUAACAUUCCUUUUUAUUGCAAUGCAAUAUUUUAUUAGGUGAAGAUACCCUAAUUUGCUAAUCUAUUCUGCUGUUGAUGGAUAUCAAGUCUUUUUCCAGUAAAUCUGUGCUAUGGUGUGAACGUAUGUGUCCUUUCAAAAUUCAUCUCUUGGAACUUGACCCCCAAGGUGGUGGCGCUUGGAGGUAGAGCCCUUGGGAGGUAGUUAUGCCAUGAGGGUUUUUCCUUCGUGGGUGGGAUUAGCAUCCUUCUAAAAGGGUACAAGGGAACUAGCUAGCCCCCUUUGUCCCUUCCGCCACGUAAGGACACAGCAAGAGGCACUGUGUUUGUUUGCUUUUCAUUGCUAUAACCAAAAUACCUGACAGGACAACUUAAGGAAAGGUUUACGUUGGCUCAUGGUUCCAAAGGUCUCAGUUCAUGGUAGGCCAACUACAUUGCUCUGGGCCGAAGGUGAAGCACAACAUCAUGGUGGCAGGGUGUGGGGGAGGGAAGCUGCUCAGCUCAUGGCAGCCAGGAAGGAGAGAGAAGAAGGGGCCAGGAACAAGAUAGACUCCCCCAAGGCACAUUCCCAGGGACCUGAUUUCUCCAACCAUGCCCCACCUGCCGACAGUUUCCACCUCCUCCCAGUAGUUCGAAUUGUUAAUCCAUCAAAUGGAUCAAUCCACUGAUGAGGUCAGAGCCUUCAUGAUCCAAUCACUUCACCUAAGCACAACCUCUGGAUAUGGCUGCACUGGGGACCAAGUCUUCAACACAUCAACUUCGAAGGGACCUUCUGGAUUUAAACCAUGACAGGCACCAUCUUAAAGACAGAGAGUCUGAACUUCACCAGACAUGCAUCUGCUUGCACCUGGAUCUUGGACUUUCCGACAACUGGGAUUUUGAGA
rnacentral:lncRNA from 1 species